CUUGGAUCCACACAGUUUUAAAGGUUUACAUCUCUGAGCUUUGAAAGACACGCUGUUGGAAAGAGAAGAACGAUGGCUUCUUUUUGAGGGUAAAAUGAUGGCUGUAGAGCAAACACUGUGGACACAGCAGCAGUUGAAAGAGAAGUGUUUAAGAUGAAUCUUGGCACAGUGAGAGACAGAGCUCGUUAGGCAGGCAGGUGUGAGCCUGGUUGCUAUAGUGACUGCACCCAAUGGCUCCAUACACACGCUCACAGACAUGCACCUCACUUUUGCUGCUUAAAAUGAACAGAAAAGUCAGCCCCAAACAAAUCCUUCCCAAAUGAAAAGUACAGGUCGUAUUGACAAAAUUCUUUCACCG
ensembl:lncRNA